CAGUAGCCGCGGUAAUACGGAGGGUGCAAGCGUUAUCCGGACUCACUGGGUUUAAAGGGUGCGUAGGCGGGCAGGUAAGUCAGUGGUGAAAUCUUCGAGCUUAACUCGGAAACUGCCGUUGAUACUAUCUGUCUUGAAUAACGUUGAGGUGAGCGGAAUAUGUCAUGUAGCGGUGAAAUGCUUAGAUAUGACAUAGAACACCAAUUGCGAAGGCAGCUGGCUACACAACUAUUGACGCUGAGGCACGAAAGCGUGGGGAUCAAACAGGAUUAGAUACCCCGGUAGUCCCUGUCUCUUAUAA
rnacentral:rRNA from 1 species